rnacentral:RNase_P_RNA from 1 species
CGAGUCGGCCGGGCAGCCGCGGCGAAAGCUGAGGAAGGUCCGGACUUCACAGAGCACGGUGGUGGGUAACGCCCACCCGGGGUGACCCGCGGGAAAGUGCCACAGAGAAUAGACCGCCGCCGGGAAGCUGGCGGUAAGGGUGAAACGGCGUGUGUAAGAGACCACCGCGUCAUUGGUGACAAUGACGGCACGGUAAACCCCACCGGAAGCAAGGGCAAGAAGAGGAGCAAUCCUCGCGGAUGCCGAUGCCCGCCCCAAUCGGGGAGGGCGGGAGCGCUGCUCGCGCAAGGCAUUCGGGUAGCCCGCACGCUUGGUUGCAAGCGGAGGCGGCUGGAAACAGCCGUCACAGAUGGAUGGCUGCCAGGUGGCGACACCUACAGAAUCCGGCCUACAGGCCGGCUCGUCAC